rnacentral:snRNA from 1 species
AUGUGAGGGUGAUCUGGCUGCGACAUUUGUCACCCCAUUGAUCGCCAGGGUUGAUUUGGCUAAGCUGGCUGACUAGGCAGGUAUCCCCUUCCUCCCUCACCACUCCAUGUGCAUCCCUCCUGAAGCUGCAUGUUCGGUGGAAGAGGAUGACUUCCCAGGUAUAGAAGGAGAGUACUGACGUCUCCAGUCUUCAGUCCCAAGUAUGCGAUAGCUGCGCUUCCCUGCUAGAACCUCCAAACAAGCUCAAAGCCUGUGGGGCUUGCUGUGCAACCCCAAGCCACAAUCUUCAAAUACUAUUUAAUUAAAAAAAUAGUUAAACCUAGAUAGU